ensembl:lncRNA
AAAUAUUUUCCUCUGAAACAAUUAGUCUGAAUGGAAUACAUCUAUUUGGUUAAAUGAAAUGUACUAGAGGCACUUUUAUUUAGCUGCCUUUAACGUUUCAAUCUUUCUGCUCCAAUUUAGGUCCAUGAAAGAUCAAAUUGUGCACAUGAGUCACCACGAAGAACUGAGUCAACUUCUCAAAAAUGUUGAUUCUCAAAUCUCAACAUUUUUAAGUCAAAAACCAGCUGAUUCUGAAGCCUGCCAAGAUCAACUGCUGAAAGUAAAGGUUUGUGGUCAUUUAGCAUUAACAGGUUAAAUGCAUAGCAAUAAUGCCUAUGGAGAUCUUAAGAAGAUUUGGGAAAGCAGUGAAAACUUGCUUUUACUUCCCUUUUGCCUUCUGAAAAUCAGUUUUUUAUGGUUCCUUGUGCCACUUUUCAUCUCAUAACAAUGCAAGUAUGCACUAGAAUUGUCUUCAUCUGCAGGUGCUCCAGACAGAGCUGAAGAACCUCUCUAAAAAGCUGAAGGAACUGAGCGAAAGCUGCCCAGGUCUUCGCUGCAAAGCACCCAUGGAUCUGAUGCUGGGACAACUGUGGAGGUCUUGGGCAGUGCUGCAGUGCAGAGUGGAAUCUCUCAAAGCCAGCAUGUCUCAUAAAGAAGCAGAGUGGAGAGACUUGGUGAUACGUCUGAAUAAAUCAAAGGAAGGUCUUGACAGACUGCAGAAUGAUCUCCCAGACUCGUCUACGGUGAUGGGAUCCCUGGUGGAUCUUCAGGGUGUUCUGAGCCUCACUGAGCGCCUUCAAGAUGGGAUUGAGCAGGAGCAUCACACUUUGGCAUCUCUACAACACCAUGUGGCACGAUUGCUUGGGGUCUCAAAUUUGCAGCAGCUGAAAGUGUGUCCUCAAAUCUGUCAGGACUUGCAGUCUCUUCAGGGUCACUGCAGAAGGUUUGACUUGUACACACAUGCACAAAAACAUUGA